GACGAACGCUGGCGGCGUGCCUAAUACAUGCAAGUAGAACGCUGAAGGAGGAGCUUGCUUCUCCGGAUGAGUUGCGAACGGGUGAGUAACGCGUAGGUAACCUGCCUGGUAGCGGGGGAUAACUAUUGGAAACGAUAGCUAAUACCGCAUAACAGUAGAUGUUGCAUGACAUUUGCUUAAAAGGUGCAAUUGCAUCACUACCAGAUGGACCUGCGUUGUAUUAGCUAGUUGGUGAGGUAACGGCUCACCAAGGCGACGAUACAUAGCCGACCUGAGAGGGGGAACGGCCACCACUGGAAGGGGAAACGGGCCCGACUCCUACGGGAAGCAGCAGUAGGGAAUCCUCGGACAUGGGAGGGAGGCUGAACGAGCAACGCCGCGGGGGGGAAGAAGGUUUUCGGAUCGUAAAGGUCUGUUGUAAGAGAAGAACGGGUGUGGGAGUGGAAAAUUCACAAUGUGACGGUAUCUUACCAGAAAGGGACGGCUAACUACGUG
rnacentral:rRNA from 1 species